AGGACGAACGCUGGCGGCGUGCUUAACACAUGCAAGUCGAGCGCUGAAGCCUUCGGGUGGAUGAGCGGCGAACGGGUGAGUAACACGUGGGUGACCUGCCCUCAGCUCUGGGAUAAGCCUGGGAAACUGGGUCUAAUACCGGAUAUUCACGUACUCCUGCAGUGGGGGUGUGUGGAAAGUUUUUCGGCUGGGGAUGGGCCCGCGGCCUAUCAGCUUGGUUGGUGGGUGAUGGCCUACCGAAGGCGACGACGGGUAGCCGGCCUGAGACGGGCGACCGGCCACGACUGGGACUGGAGACACCGGCCCAGACUCCGUACGGGAGGCAGCAGGUGGGGAAUAGUUGCG
rnacentral:rRNA from 1 species